GACGAACGCUGGCGGCGUGCCUAACACAUGCGAGUCGAACGGAAAGGCCCUGCUUUUGUGGGGUGCUCGAGUGGCGAACGGGUGAGUAACACGUGAGUAACCUGCCCUUGACUUUGGGAUAACUUCAGGAAACUGGGGCUAAUACCGGAUAGGAGCUCCUGCUGCAUGGUGGGGGUUGGAAAGUUUCGGUGGUUGGGGAUGGACUCGCGGCUUAUCAGCUUGUUGGUGGGGUAGUGGCUUACCAAGGCUUUGACGGGUAGCCGGCCUGGGAGGGUGGCCGGCCACAAUAGGCCUGAGGUACGGACCAGGCUCCAACGGGAGGCAACGGUGGGGAAUCUUACACAGUGAGCGGGAGCCUGAUGCGGCGGCGCCGCGUGCGGGAUGACGGCCUUCGGGUUGUGAACCGCUUUCGCCUGUGACGAGGCGUGAGUGACGGUAAUGGGUAAAGAAGCACCGGCUAACUACGUG
rnacentral:rRNA from 1 species